rnacentral:rRNA from 1 species
GACGAACGCUGGCGGCGUGCUUAACACAUGCAAGUCGAACGGAAAGGCCUCUUUCGGGGGGUACUCGAGUGGCGAACGGGUGAGUAACACGUGAGUAACCUGCCCUUGACUUUGGGAUAACUUCAGGAAACUGGGGCUAAUACCGGAUAGGAGCUCCUGCUGCAUGGUGGGGGUUGGAAAGUUUCGGCGGUUGGGGAUGGACUCGCGGCUUAUCAGCUUGUUGGUGGGGUAGUGGCUUACCAAGGCCUUGACGGGUAGCCGGCCUGAGAGGGUGACCGGCCACAUUGGGACUGAGAGACGGCCCAGACUCCUACGGGAGGCAGCAGGGGGGAAUAUUGCACAAUGGGUGGAAGCCGGAUGCAGCAACGCCGUGGGCGGGAUGACGGCCUUCGGGUUGUAAACCGCUUUCGCUCAUGACGAAGCUUUGUGUGACGGUAGUGGGUAAAGAAGCACCGGCUAACUACGUG